ACCAUAAACCUCAAUACCCCGUCUAGUAUGAGGGUGAAACGAGCCGUCUCAUACCCUGUCAGGUAUGGGCGCUAAAACACAUAAGGUCUAUAUACCCCAUCCGGUAUAAGAGACCACGUUCCCGGUAGGGUUCCUUACGGACCCGGUCCGUCCACCAUCUCCUAGGAUAUCUAGUCAGGUUGUCAACAUUAUCUAUUUAUCAAUUCACAUAACAUUUUUUCCCUUUUUCUUGG
rnacentral:lncRNA from 1 species